GUUUCGAUCAGCUGUUGUAUGCUGUUAGUUGUUGCGCUUUUGUACUCCUCUCUCCACGAAUAUUUAUAAGGUUUCUGAGAAUGGCAUUCCCCCAGAAAAGUCUAACUGAUAAGGAAGUAUUACAGCUGCUGCAGAUUCUAGAUGGUGAUAUUUCAGAGUUUAGCUUUUCGUCAGAUGAAGAAAAUAAUGAGUCAUACUUUAUCCAGCAAGAGUCCGACAGUGUCCCAGAAUAUCCACAAAGUAAUCAUAUUGAAAUACACAUGCAAGGGAAGGAUUACACUAUUGAACAUGAGGACAUCUAUAAACCGCAAGCAACAAACAUAGAAAGUAAUGGUGUACAACAUUCCACGAAUAAGGAAGCACCUCAACCUGCAAAAAAGAAGAAAAAAAACUGUUCAUGGAAGAAAGGUGAUUUCGUUCUGCCAGAUACCAUGAGGAAAGACAACAUACUUCCACCACCAUCUGAUGAAGACCUAACUCCAAUGAAUUCUUUUCAGAUUUUCGUUGAUGAUGAAAUAUGCGAAUCCAUUGCCCUUGAAACAAAUCAUUACACACACAUCAAAGAUGGGGUUGUCAUUGAUGUUUCUUGCAAUGAAAUAAUGUAUUGAUAUUUUACUAUUUGUGAGUGCAGUUACAAUGCCACAAUAUAAAAUGUACUGGUCACAACAGUGUCGCUUUCCUCCAAUUGCAGAUGUUAUGAGUAGGAAUAGAUUUGGAACUAUAAGGUCAACAUGUUGCAACUUCCUCCACAAGAGAAACAGAGCAUUGAUGAACAGAUGAUCUCUUUCAAGGGGAGAAGUUCUUUAGUUCAGCACCUCAAAAACAAACCUCAUAAAUAAGGAUAUAAAGUGUUUAUUCGAGCUGGAGUAUCAGGCCUAAUAUAUGACUUUGCAAUUUAUGUCGGUAAAGGCACAUGUGAUGAGCAUGGUUUAGGAGUUUCAGGAGAUAUUGUUCUGAUGCUGUGUGAAGAUUUACCAGAGGGCAAGAACUACAAGAUAUUUUUUGAUAAUUAGUUCAGCUAUUUAGACCUUUUAGAUGUUUCCAAACAGAAAGGUAUUUUAUGUGUUGCGGCUAUUCCUUCAGACAGAAUGUCACUCAGCCCUGUAGCAGAAGAAAAGGAGCUGGAAAAGAAAGGAAGAGGAGCACUGGAUUCUAGUACUGAUGAAUCAUCCAACAUCAUAGCAGUAAGGUGGUAUGACAAUAAAGUUGUGCAACUUGUUUCCACAUAUGCAGGUAUAAAUCCACAGGAUAAAUGAAAGAGGUGGAGUAAAAAGGAUAAUCAGUCAAUUCAGGUAACUCGACCACUGAUUGUGAAGGAAUAUAAUGAACACAUGGGAGGAGUGGAUUUUACAGACAUUCUCAUAGAACUUUAUAGUAUAAAUGUCCAUUCCAAAAAGUGGUUGUAAAUUCAUGGUUGCUUUACAGACGUCAUUUGAAUCAGUGAGGUGCAACAGCUCAUCUUUCCCUUCUGGAUUUCCACACUCAUAAUGCUUCUGGUCUUACUAUGGCAGGAAAUGUUGUUCAUUGCAAAAGAGGAAGACCAUCUACAGAAGAUAUACAAGCUCCAAAGAAGAGGUUGGUAGCCUCCAGGCGUAUUGUAGAUGUCAGAUAUGAUGAAGUUGGUCACUGGCCACAACAGAGCCACCAGAAAGGCCGUUGCAAGCUCUGCCCUAAAUGAUUCAGCAGAGUCUCGUGCAUUAAAUGUAAAAUGUUUCUAUGUCUAACAAGUGAAAAAAAUUGCUUUAUGUCUUUCCACACCAAGUAAUAAAUAAAGUAUUCUGUAACUUACCUUGACGACAUGUUUAUAUU